rnacentral:rRNA from 1 species
AGUGAACGCUGGCGGUAGGCCUAACACAUGCAAGUCGAACGGCAGCACAGUAAGAGCUUGCUCUUACGGGUGGCGAGUGGCGGACGGGUGAGGAAUACAUCGGAAUCUACUUUUUCGUGGGGGAUAACGUAGGGAAACUUACGCUAAUACUGCAUACGACCUACGGGUGAAAGCAGGGGAUCUUCGUACCUUGCGCGAUUGAAUGAGCCGAUGUCGGAUUAGCUAGUUGGCGGGGUAAAGGCCCACCAAGGCGACGAUCCGUAGCUGGUCUGAGAGGAUGAUCAGCCACACUGGAACUGAGACACGGUCCAGACUCCUACGGGAGGCAGCAGUGGGGAAUAUUGGACAAUGGGCGCAAGCCUGAUCCAGCCAUACCGCGUGGGUGAAGAAGGCCUUCGGGUUGUAAAGCCCUUUUGUUGGGAAAGAAAAGCAGCAGGUUAAUACCCCGCUGUUCUGACGGUACCCAAAGAAUAAGCACCGGCUAACUUCGUG